rnacentral:lncRNA from 1 species
CAAGUAUCUUGUUGGCCUGCCCUUUGCUCUCUGAUGGAAUUCAACAAAAUCAUCUCCAAGUGAUGUAGUUUAAAGAUGACUUUACAACCACCUGUGUUCCAGAAGUGGGACAUGACUCUGUCCGUAUCUGGAAAUUGAAGCAAAGUCUGGUGCUACUCAGCUUAUUUGAUGAAGUCUUACCAGAGCUGUCUCUGCAGCUGGUACUGUUGUAUUACUGCAUUGCAAAUAACAG